AACGAACGCUGGCGGCGUGCUUAACACAUGCAAGUCGAACGGAAAGGCCCUGCUUGCUGGGUACUCGAGUGGCGAACGGGUGAGUAACACGUGGGUGAUCUGCCCUGCACUUCGGGAUAAGCCUGGGAAACUGGGUCUAAUACCGGAUAGGAGCCAUUUCUCGUGUGAUGGUUGGAAAGUUUUUUCGGUGUAGGAUGAGCUCGCGGCCUAUCAGCUUGUUGGUGGGGUAAUGGCCUACCAAGGCGGCGACGGGUAGCCGGCCUGAGAGGGUGGACGGCCACAUUGGGACUGAGAUACGGCCCAGACUCCAACGGGAGGCAGCGGUGGAGAAUAUUGUACAAUGGGCGCAAGCCUGAUGCAGCGACGCCGCGUGGGGGAUGACGGCCUGCGGUUUGUAAACUCCUUUCGCUAGAGACGAAGCUUUUGUGACGGUACCUAGAUAAGAAGCACCGGCUAACUACGUG
rnacentral:rRNA from 1 species